rnacentral:tRNA from 1 species
UGUAACGUGCCCGAGUGGUCUAAGGGAUUGCAAUUAAAAUGCAAUGCAAUAUGCUUCGUGGGUUCGAAUCCCAUCGUUAUUA